rnacentral:rRNA from 1 species
UACGUAGGGUGCAAGCGUUGUCCGGAAUUAUUGGGCGUAAAGAGCUCGUAGGCGGUUUGUUGCGUCGGCUGUGAAAUCCCCGAGGCUCAACCUCGGGUCUGCAGUCGAUACGAGCAAACUAGAGUGUUGCAGGGGAGACUGGAAUUCCUGGUGUAGCGGUGAAAUUCGUAGAUAUUCGCAAGAACACCAGUGGCGAAGGCGGCUCUCUGGGACGGUACUGACGCUGAGACGCGAAAGCGUGGGGAGCAAACAGG